rnacentral:rRNA from 1 species
CUACGGGAGGCAGCAGUAGGGAAUCUUCCGCAAUGGACGAAAGUCUGACGGAGCAACGCCGCGUGAACGAUGAAGGCCUUCGGGUCGUAAAGUUCUGUUGUUAGGGAAGAACAAGUACC